CGGCGAGCGGGGCUGCAGAGAUCACCGAACUACGCGACAGGGUUGCGCAACUGGAGGAGAAGGGAGAGAAAGGAACAUGGUUUGAAUAUAAUGGAACAAACGAGGCGGAAGAUGCGGUGAAGAAUUCCAAAAAAUCUGCAAAAGUCAUACCAGACGCCUCAAGUUUUAUUACCGGCGAGAAUACACCUGGAUUGAAAUAGAUGACGAGGAAAAAGGGGGCGGCGGUUCUUGCAACUUGAACCCGAGGACUUGCAAGCUGAUCAGACCCAUCCGGGCGGAGGAAAUUCUGUGCAACAAUAAAAGGGAGGACAAUAGGCUCCAUUGUAAGGACAGAUUAGACCAAAAAGGGAA